AGCGUAUAUUAAAGUUGUUGCCGUUAAAAAGCUCGUAGCCGAACUUCGGCCUCUGCCGCCCGGUCCGCCUAAUUGGGUGUGUACUGGAGCGGUGGAGGCUUACCUCGUGGUGAACGGCCAUGCCCUUUACUGGGUGUGGUCGGGAACCAUGACUUUUACUGUGAAAAAAUUAGAGUGUUCAAAGCAGGCUUACGCCCGAAUACAUUAGCAUGGAAUAAUAAAAUAGGACGUGCGGUCCUAUUUUGUUGGUUUCUAGGAUCGCCGUAAUGAUUAAUAGGGAUAGUUGGGGGCAUUCGUAUUCAAUUGUCAGAGGUGAAAUUCUUGGAUUUAUUGAAGACGAACUACUGCGAAAGCAUUUGCCAAGGAUGUUUUCAUUGAUCAAGAACGAAGGUUAGGGGAUCGAAAACGAUCAGAUACCGUUGUAGUCUUAACAGUAAACGAUGCCGACUAGGGAUCGGAUGAGGUUUUUAAUGACUCAUUCGGCACCUGAAGAGAAAUCUUUAAGUCAGGUUCGGGGGGGAGUAUGGUCGCAAGGCUGAAACUUAAAGGAAUUGACGGAAGGGCACCACCAGGUGUGGAGCCUGCGGCUUAAUUUGACUCAACACGGGGAAACUCACCAGGUCCAGACACGACAAGGAUUGACAGAUUGAUAGCUCUUUCUUGAUUUCGUGGUUGGUGGUGCAUGGCCGUUCUUAGUUGGUGGAGUGAUUUGUCUGGUUAAUUCCGAUAACGAACGAGACCUUAACCUGCUAAAUAGCCCGGCCGACUUUGGUUGGUCGCUGGCUUCUUAGAGGGACUAUCGACGUCUAGUCGAUGGAAGUUUGAGGCAAUAACAGGUCUGUGAUGCCCUUAGAUGUUCUGGGCCGCACGCGCGCUACACUGACCGAACCAGCGAGUUUAUUUCCUUGGCCGGAAGGCCUGGGUAAUCUUGUGAAAUUCGGUCGUGAUGGGGAUAGAGCAUUGCAAUUAUUGCUCUUCAACGAGGAAUACCUAGUAAGCG
rnacentral:rRNA from 1 species